GAGUAUUUGACAUGGCUUCUUAGCCUGUGUCUGACAAACAGCAGCUGGGUCUCUGGAGGCAGUGGCUAAGCAGCAUUACUAGCUUAUAAAAGUAAGGAAAAUUAAGGCAAUUCCUGGAGUGUAAAGACUUUUGGAUAUUAGCACAAAACUAGGAAGUGGGAAAGAGGUAUAUUCACUGAGUUUGGAAUGAAGGAAACAGAGGAAAAAGCCCAUCUUUUUCUUUACUGAAAGAAUCCUGCUUUGCAGAACUUGCAUGUAGCAUGCUUCCAUUCAUAACUGAUGCUAAUUAUAGUAGGAAUAAAGGAGGGAUAAACUGCAACUGAGAAACAUCUAAUCUGCAUUCAGUGCAGUUAGCUGUGUUGAACACAGAUGCAUGCAACAAGACUGUCAUGGUGACUUAGUCACUCAGUACCAUCUGAAAAGAAGGGGAUCAAGAAACACCUGAGAUGGAUAUUACUGCCAAAAAAUGGUGAAUUUUAUAUCAAAUUCUGAGAUGACAGACGGGGAGACAACUGUUUUCUUUUCUGCCUGUGCAAAUGCAUCCCUAAGGGAAAGAAGACACUUCUGCAUCCCAGGUUCUAUGAAACUUCAAGUAAAUUCAAGGAUUUACUCUACUGGUGUGUAUAUGUGCUUGUGUGAAAAUUAUCUUAUUUCAGUUCAUAACAAAUGUUACUCAACAGUUUUUACUAUGAAUAUUUGACUGUUGGAUUAAAAGUUUAAGAAAAUUCUCUUUCAUCAAAUGAAGUGACCAGACAAAUCCCUUAAGUCUAACUUCUGUGUUACUGGGACUGGGCUUUUCCUUCUCUAUGGUAAUAAAUAAUAAAACACAGUAUAAUGCAGGAAGAGGUAGACAAGUGAGAGAGAAGAAAAGCAAGCAAAGAAAGAUGCAUCCUGCCAAACAGAGGUAAUAUAAAAGGUCAGGAGAAAAAAUGUAAACAUUCAGAGGUAGAUAGUAGAACAGAAUAAUUAAUCAGGAUAAAAUAGGAUUAAGGUAAAAUCUUAGUUUCAUUGGGAGACUGGCUCAGUGCAUAAUCCAGUGAUGCCAUUUCUGGAUAAUACAGAGGAUACAGGAAAAGAUAACAGACUGGGCGUAAAGAAGGUAAGAUUAAGUGCUGCAAAUUCCAGAGCCUCCUAGAAUUCAACUUCAUCUGAACUCAGUGACAUAAAAGAUGAGAGAUGCAUAAGAAAGGACCAUUAUACACGUUCUUUGUUAGCAGUCUUCCAGUGUCAUGAUAACGCUGACUAAAUGAGAAUGCUGUUCAUUUUAUUAUUAGAAGUUCAAUCUCUCUUAGAUAUCUGAAAAAGUGGGGGCUGAGGCUUGUGGUUACUGAGUGACCUCAUUUGAUGUAUUCUAAUCAUUCUGUUUGACAAAAAUCUCAAAGAUUUUGAUAAUUGUUUACAGAAGACAUAACAUUAUUUUGCGCACUACUUUAAAUAUACUCUCUCUGAAGUUAUGGGAGCAAAUUUACUCACCUUUCUUCUGGUAGAGUGUAAAUUGGCACAUGGUUACUGCUUGUGUUAUCAGCAAGAGAGCAUGAAAUGUCCUAGACAACAAAUAUUUUACAUUCAUUGAGUGCUGAAAAUGGAAAAGUGAUGGUUGGUGAUGCAGAAAAUGUAUUGCAAUUCUUUUUCUUUUUUACCGAAAAACAUUCAUGUGUUCAUAGUUCAUUAAGCAUUAGGCAGCAACCUUGUGAACUCCAGACCUGGAAGAGCCAGAUGCCAGCAGUGCUGUGCGUACAGGCUGAAGGAGAAGCCUAUGCAUGAAAGGCAUUCUAAAGAGCUGAUUAUUCAGAAAAGCCUACCUCAGUGAGUGUAACAUGUGUGGUACCUGCUUCCAUUUUACUUUAUGCAUUUCACAAUCUGUAUCUGACCACUUGAUGAGUGCUUGCAGGGAAAAAUAAAUUAAUAUAGAAUU
ensembl:lncRNA